CCUACGGGAGGCAGCAGUGAGGAAUAUUGGUCAAUGGGCGGGAGCCUGAACCAGCCAAGUCGCGUGAGGGAUGACGGCCCUAUGGGUUGUAAACCUCUUUUGCCUGGGAGCAAAGUGCCGCACGUGUGCGGUUUUGCGCGUACCCGGCGAACAAGCAUCGGCUAACUCCGUCCCAGCAGCCGCGGUAAUCCGGGGGAUGCGAGCGUUAUCCGGAUUUAUGGGGUUUAAAGGGUGCGUAGGCGGACGCUUAAGUCAGUGGUAAAAUUGCGGGGCUCAACCUCGGCGAGCCGUUGAAACUGGGAGACUUGAGUGGGCGAGAAGUAAGCGGAAUGCGUGGUGUAGCGGUGAAAUGCAUAGAUAUCACGAAGAACUCCGAUUGCGAAGGCAGCGUACCGGAGCCCAACUGACGCUGAAGCACGAAGGCGUGGGUAUCGAACAGGAUUAGAUACCCCUGUAGUC
rnacentral:rRNA from 1 species